UCCUUCUCUGUAUCAUACAGAUCAAUUCCAUUUCGAGUUUGGAUUCGGUUUCCGUCGGUAUUCAACUUCAAUUUACGAUUCUAUUGUUUCUUGUAAUCCACGAGAAGGCUGUGAAUCUGUUGUUUGAGAAGAGGCCGGAGCAGUUUGGAAUCGGCGUUUGAUUGUUGUUUCGAAUCGAAGGAAGAUGUAGGUAUAUUCAUGGAAAUCCCGCAUAUCGGUGGCCAUCUCUAUCCCUCUCGUCCGUCACGCACCGUCGGCAAAGUUUCAGGUAAGGUUUCUUUGUUAUUCGUAUAAUGUUCAACUUAAGAGUUAGGCCGGUUGGAGCUGGAGAAUCAGAAGGAGAUUCCUCAUUACACACUUCAUCAGAUUCAGCCUCGUGUGGAAUCCUUUGAGGAACAGGUGAUAUCGGAGUCGAAGAUAUUGGAUGUGUUGCCGAAUUUCCGAUGGUUGUUUGCAGGAAAGUUUGAAAAGAGGUAUGCGGCUGUGCAAAAGAGGCGUGAUGAUUUUAUGCAGGUUUGAAUUGAUGAGUUUAGAGCGGGUGGUUUCUGGGUGGUGAAGAGAAGAAAAAGAAGACAUUGCUUGAGAUUUUAUUGUCUCUACAAGAUGCUGAUCCGGAGUAUUAUACAGACGAAAUGAUCAAAAGCCUUUCACAGGCUCUAUUACUUGGAGGAAUCAAUACAUCGGUCGAGACGAUGGAGUGGGCGAUGACGCUUUUACUUAACAACCCGAACGUUUUACACAAGGCGCAAACUGAAAUCGACAUCUUCGUAGGAUGCGAUUGAUUAGUGAACGACGCCGAUCUAUCGAAGCUUCCAUACUUGCAGUGUAUCAUCAAGGAGACGUUAAGAAUGCACCCAACCGCGCCUUUACGUCUUCCUCAUGAGUCAUCCAAAGAUUGUGUGGUUAGUGGUUACAAUAUCCCACAUGGUACAAUGUUGUUCGUGAAUGUGUGUGGGCUAUACAAAAUGAUCCAAACACUAUACAAGGAGAUUUUUAAAGAAAUUUGAAUUAUAUUUUGUAAAUUUAAACUAUCCUAUAUAUUUUUAACUAUAUUUUUUAAAUAUAGAAUAAAAUUUUAUCUUCUUUUUAUUUCCAAACAAAAUUAAACUACCCUCAUUUGUUAAACCGCGUGUACACGCGGGUUAUAACCUAGUAUCUUUAUAAACAUGUAAGAAAGAAAUCACAUUCACAAUGACAUGUGGCAAAAGUGUCCAAUAUUCAGUUUUGUUCGUAAAUGCAUAUUCUACAAUCACUUUCACCCAUGUGCCAUGUACCAUCAGAAUGUAAUCACUUUAUUGAUAUUUUUAGGUGAUAAGCAACAUAAACUAGCAUACAAUAAUCAGAAUGCAAUCACUUUAUUGAUAUUUAUAGGUGAUAAGCAACAAAAACUAGCAUACGAUAAACAUAUUUGUGUAUAAGUUCAUAUUUAGAGUUAAUUACAGCGUUAGUCCCUAUAGUUUGUAGAAAGUAACAACCUAAGAUACUAAUAGUUUAAAAUAACAUCCUAAGGUAUUAACCUUCUAAUUUGUAACAAAUUAGGGUACUAACACCUAACCCGGUUUAAUUUUAACAGAGUUCAAGAUUAAUUAAGUCCUUUUGCAUUCUUCAUUUAUCAAAACUAAUAAAAAAAACCCUUAGAUGUAUGAACCCUUACUUAUUCUCUUUACGUAGGAAGUUACAUAAUAAUGUCAACAUGUGACAUGAAUAUUGUGAUUUUUUUUUUUACAAAGCAAUGGUAGGUAGUCGGGCAACAAGUUGCGC
rnacentral:lncRNA from 1 species